UUUUUUUUUUUUCCCGGGGAGUCGGCCUCGGGGCUCUGCUCUCCUACCUCAGUCUGCCCUACCCUGGAAUGGGGAAAAUGCGGACAUGCCACUCAGUCCGGCCGCGAACAGUGCUCCAGAACUCAGAGAGUUUUCCAGACGGGUGGAGAUCGCGUUCCCUGCCCGCCGAGGUCCCAUCGCUUCCCUGCUGGGAAGACAAAUGAGGCGCUUUAGCCGUCUCCACGGCCAGCCCCUCCCUCAUAACCCGAGAUUCUUUGUGGGCUCUUAGUCCAUAGCUGCCUUUGAGGUGGUGUAGACCUUGCUAACCAGGACGGCCCAGUAGGCAGAGCUCAUUUUUAUUCCUGUCUGCAAUCGUGCAAAAACGCCUCUUAUGGAAAAGCCAGAGCGCCAGGAGUCAGCAAAACACACUAAAGAUUGGGCAGUCACUGGGGAGAACAUGGCCUGAAGCAACUGAAGAUCCACAAAAGAAGUGAAAAUAGCCUUAACUGAUGACAUUCCACCAUUGAGAUUUGUUCCUGCCCCACCCUAACUGAUACGAUAUAUUCUCCCCCGCCCUUAAGAAGACUCAGCCCGCCUGCACCCAGGUGAAAUAUACAGCCUUGUUGCUCACACAAAGCCUGUUUGGUGGUUUCUUCACACGGAUGCAUGUGACAUUUGGUGCUGAAGACCCAGGACAGGAGGACUCCUUUGGGAGACCAGUGCCCUGUUGUCGCCCUCACUCCGUGAGGAGAUCCACCUAUGAUCUCAGGUCCUCAGACCAACCAGCCCAAGGAACAUCUUGCCAAUUUCAAAUCGGAAGAUAGGAGUGUCAGGCCUCUGAGUCCAAGCUAAGCCAUCAAAUCCCCUGUGACCUGCACGUGUACAUCCAGAUGACCUGAAGCAACUGAAGAUCCACAAAAGAAGUGAAAGUAGCCUUAACUGAUGACAUUCCACCAUUGUGAUUUGUUCCUGCCCCACGCUAACUGAUACCAUAUAUUCUUCCCCCGCCCUUGAGAAUGUACUUUGUACACCUAUCCCAAACCUAUAAGAACUAAUGAUAAUCCUACCACCCUUUGCUGACUCUCUUUUUGGACUCAGCCCGCCUGCACCCAGGUGAAAUAAACAGCCCUGUUG
rnacentral:lncRNA from 1 species